rnacentral:rRNA from 1 species
GACGAACGCUGGCGGCGUGCUUAACACAUGCAAGUCGAACGGUAAGGCCCUUCGGGGUACACGAGUGGCGAACGGGUGAGUAACACGUGGGUGAUCUGCCCUGCACUUCGGGAUAAGCCUGGGGAACUGGGUCUAAUACCGGAUAGGACCACUGCCUGCAUGGGUGGUAGUGGAAAGCUUUUGCGGUGUGGGAUGGGCCCGCGGCCUAUCAGCUUGUUGGUGGGGUGGUGGCCUACCAAGGCGACGACGGGUAGCCGGCCUGAGAGGGUGACCGGCCACACUGGGACUGGGAUACGGCCCAGACUCCUACGGGAGGCAGCAGUGGGGAAUAUUGCACAAUGGGCGCAAGCCUGAUGCAGCGACGCCGCGUGAGGGAUGACGGCCUUCGGGUUGUAAACCUCUUUCAGCACCGACGAAGCGCAAGUGACGGUAGGUGCAGAAGAAGGACCGGCCAACUACGUGCCAGCAGCCGCAGUAA